AUUGAACGCUGGCGGCAGGCCUAACACAUGCAAGUCGAGCGGGGUUUUCGGACCUAGCGGCGGACGGGUGAGUAAUGCGUAGGAAGCUACCCGAUAGAGGGGAUACCAGUUGGAAACGACUGUUAAUACCGCAUAAUGUCUACGGACCAAAGUGUGGGACCUUCGGGCCACAUGCUAUCGGAUGCGCCUACGUGGGAUUAGCUAGUUGGUGAGGUAAUGGCUCACCAAGGCGACGAUCUCUAGCUGGUUUGAGAGGAUGAUCAGCCACACUGGAACUGAGACACGGUCCAGACUCCUACGGGAGGCAGCAGUGGGGAAUAUUGGACAAUGGGCGCAAGCCUGAUCCAGCCAUGCCGCGUGUGUGAAGAAGGCCU
rnacentral:rRNA from 1 species